UACGAAGGGGGCGAGCGUUGUUCGGAAUUACUGGGCGUAAAGGGCGCGCAGGCGGCCUUAGAAGUCAGAUGUGAGAGCCCCGGGCUCAACCUGGGAAUGGCAUUUGAUACUCUGAGGCUGGAGUACGGGAGAGGAGAGUGGAAUUCCCAGUGUAGAGGUGAAAUUCGUAGAUAUUGGGAAGAACACCGGUGGCGAAGGCGGCUCUCUGGACCGUAACUGACGCUGAGGCGCGAAAGCGUGGGGAGCAAACAGG
rnacentral:rRNA from 1 species